AUCACUUCUCAGCCUUUUGGCUAAGAUCAAGUGUAGAAUUCAUAUUAAGCUAUGUAAAUAAAUGCAUUUUAUUGCACUUUUC
ensembl:snRNA U2 U2 spliceosomal RNA